GCUCAGUAGGAGAAGCUGUUUCGGGAAUACACAAAGCCGCAGCAGGAAACCCUCCCAGAGUGCUCUCUCAUUUAGAGAGAGCAAGAGCUUUUCAUUUGCGGGAAGAACAGGUGCCCCCUCUUCCUCCCCCCCCAAGAAAACCAAUGGGAGUCGCCUUAACCAAACCAACUCACAAUUGUAGAUCGACAAAACAAACAAACAAAACCCAAAGGGCCAAAGCGCAAUUCAGGCAGGGCUAGAAUGCAGCAUGGUGGGGCGUACUUUUCUCAUCUGUCAUUGAGAUUAACCUGGUGGUGUUGCUGGGAGCUUGGGGAGGGGAAGGCGUUGUUUGCAACUGAUAAGAGAAAUUUCUGCUCUUCUUUCAUUCCGUAAAGGAUUAAUGGAAAAUGUAGAAAUUGGAGGCAGCAUCAAAUUAUCAAAAGAGGCGAGAGUCAAGUGUGUAACAUUUUAAGAUCAAGAGCAGCAGGAAAAAAUAUGCUUUCUGAAGAUAAGGAAACGAGGGCACCACCGGGCGUUUGCAAGAAGACUCCAGCGGCAUGGGGAACAGAAAGAUGGGUGAGUCAGCACCGCCGAGGGCCACACGCUUCAGGCAUGUGCACUUCCAAACCAAGGGCUGCUGUGUAGGAAGUGCAGCGUGCUCUUGCCCACGGUGCCCACGGUGCCCACGGUGCCCACGGUGCAAUCGACCGGACGGAGAACAGUCCCUGGUGGGAUUGGAGUGAGCUGAACAUUUCUCCCGCCACAAAUUGCUGGAUGGUUCCAGUCUACCGGCUGUUUACACUCCACUUGGGCACUGAUGUCCCUGCCAACAGUCCCAGAACGAGUCUGCCUAUAGCUCCAGAAGUCAUCAGUUUCUCCAGAGCAUAGACUUGGACUCACUGGCAUCGAAAGAGGCUCCCCUCAAAAUGUAAAAUUCUUCACAGGGAUUCAUGCCUCAAAUAAUUCUUCAGGGAAAAGAUGGUUUGCAGUUUGAGGCAUCGAGUCACGGGCCAUUGAUUCCAGCUGGCUGAUUCCAGCUGCUUACUGAUCAUCCUCCCGGGUACCACCUUUUCUCUGCCAUAAUGAACCCAGAAGUAAGGAGCGACAGAUAUUGCAGCCAUUGGUUGGUUGACCUAGUGAGGAAUGAGCCAAAGGCUGAAUCAAGAGGAGAGAAGCCAGGCCCUGAUGACGACGACGACGACGACGACGACGACGACGACGUCGAAGCUCAAGCUACCCUUGGCCUGUCCAGUUAUGCAAACACCCAAAUCUCCUUUCUAUAACUGUUCUUGUGACAUGAGAGGACAAUUCAUGUGGUGUACGACAUUAUCUUGUUUAGCUCUUAUAACCUGGCAGGUGCAUUAUUAGUCCAAGUUCACAUGUGGGGAAACUUGUCGUUAAGCAACCUACCAACUUGUCAUUGUGGCAGAGAUGGCCGCCCCCUCCACUGUGAUCAACCGCAAAGCCUAAUUGCGGCAAUCAGGCUAGACCCCUGACCCGCUCAGCUCUGAGUAUUUUAGUCUUUUCUCUUAUGUGAAAUUUUAACGUUCCUAACAUUAGUAGCUUCAUUGCUGAAAAAAAUAUACAUAUAAGGUUUAUUUCUCUUUCUCUUUUUCACUUACUCCUUAAAUCUUUUUUCUCCCCUAUAAUCUCUCUAAAUAUCAAAUAUUUUCUCUAGCCUCCUCUUCACACUUGGUAUCAAUUUGAAAUGGUCCCGGAUCAUUGUAAGCUUGGGCAUGGAAGUGAGUUUACUGGAAAUACGACCUCGUGAUGAAUGGUCGAAGACGAGAGGGCUUCGAAUGAGUCUGAUCAACUAUCAGGAAAACAAACUUCGGAGUUGAAUUUCUGAGGUGACGAACCACAGGCCCCUCCUGCUCCUCGUUUUGUCUCACUCAUUUAAAAAAGUGAAAAAAAAAAAGACUGGGUUGGGGACUUUGCUCAGUGGUAGAGCGCUUGCCUAGCAAGUGCAAGGCCCUGGGUUCAGUCCUCAGCUCCGGAAGAAAAAAAAAUGAAAAGACCAAUAUCAAUGUUCAUGGAUUAUUUUCUCCUGGGAAGAUUGCCAAUCGAAACAUCAUCGUUCCUGCACCCAACAGGGAAAACCAAUGCUCCUCCGGCUCUCACUUUUCAACCGUAUUUAUUAAAAGAGAGAUGAAGUGCUUGCACCAAAAAGUCUGAGGACCUGAGUUCAGAUCCCCACACCUUGAAACUGGGACCUAUAAUCCCAGUGCUGGGGUGGUGGUGGCCGAGGCUCUCAGAGGGUUGCUGGUUACCAGUCAAUCACAGAGCCAAAUGAGGUGGAGGCACAGGCUUUGAAUCCCAGCACUUGGGAGACCGCGGCAGGCAGAUUUCUGAGUUUGAGGCCAGCCUGGUCUACAGAACAGGUUCUGGGACAGCUAGGGUUAGGUAGAGAAACCUUGUCUCGAAAAACAAACCAACAAAAAUGUGGCGAAUGAUAGAGGGAGACCCCUCUCAUUGAUCUCUGGCCUCUCCAGGGGCAAAGCACACUCAGAUACAAAAGCAUAAACACCCAAUAAAAGGGGGGAGUUCGCUAAAACUGGCAUCAUUUUUUUAGCGGAUCCUCAGAUAGAUAAGCCUUUUUAUUUUAUUGUUUAAACUUGACAGUGUCUCCUGUAGCCCCUGACCUUCUGGUCUUUCUGCCUCUGCUUCAUGCCAUAAACUUUAAAUACAUUUUAUUUGAUUAAGAGCCUAUCUCUGUUUUUUGUUUGUUUGUUUGUUUGUUUUCUAAAUUGAAUACCAGUCUAGGUAAGAGAAGAACAAGGGUUGGAGGUAGGACAACCUAUUUAAUCCCUGAACGUAGUCGUUAAGUUUCUUGGUCCUGCUCGGCCCCACGGUCCUGCAGCCGCUUAUAAAAUAAUCACUCAGAGGCUUAUAUGAAUUACAAACUGUAUGGCC